rnacentral:rRNA from 1 species
AUUGAACGCUGGCGGCAGGCCUAACACAUGCAAGUCGAGCGAGCGGCGGACGGGUGAGUAAUGUAUGGGAAACUGCAUGAUGGCGGGGGAUAACUACUGGAAACGGUAGCUAAUACCGCAUACCAUCAGAUGUGCCCAGAGGGGAUUAGCUAGUAGGUGUGGUAACGGCUCACCUAGGCGACGAUCCCUAGCCGGUCUGAGAGGAUGACCAGCCCAACUGGAACUGAGACACGGUCCAGACGCCUACGGGAGGCAGCAGUGGGGAAUAUUGCACAAUGGGCGCAAGCCUGAUGCAGCCAUGCCGCGUGUGUGAAGAAGGCCUUCGGGUUGUAAAGCACGUUCAGCGGGGAGGCGUUACCAGAAGAAGAAGCACCGGCUAACUCCGUGCCAGCAGCCGCGGUAAUAC